UACGUAGGGCGCAAGCGUUAUCCGGAAUUAUUGGGCGUAAAGAGCUCGUAGGCGGUUUGUCGCGUCUGCCGUGAAAGUCCGGGGCUCAACCCCGGAUCUGCGGUGGGUACGGGCAGACUAGAGUGAUGUAGGGGAGACUGGAAUUCCUGGUGUAGCGGUGGAAUGCGCAGAUAUCAGGAGGAACACCGAUGGCGAAGGCAGGUCUCUGGGUAUUAACUGACGCUGAGGCGCGAAAGCGUGGGGAGCAAACAGG
rnacentral:rRNA from 1 species